rnacentral:ncRNA from 2 species
GGACGUUCUCAGGGCGGGGUGAAAGUCCCCACCGGCGGUGAUGGCGCGAUCCCCUCAGGGAAGCGCAUGAGCCCGCGAGCGCCUGCCGGGCGACCGGCAGGGUCAGCAGAUUCGGUGGGACUCCGAAGCCGACGGUCACAGUCCGGAUGAAAGAGAACGGGG